AAUCAACGCUGGCGGCGUGCCUAACACAUGCAAGUCGAGCGAGAAAAGGGGAGCAAUCCCCUGAGUACAGCGGCGCACGGGUGAGUAACACGUGGGUAAUCUGCCCUGGAGUGGGGAAUAACACCGGGAAACCGGUGCUAAUACCGCAUACGAUCACAGAGUCUGCGGAUUGUGUGAUGAAAGGAGCAAUUCGCUCUAGGAGGAGCCCGCGGCUGAUUAGCUAGUUGGUGAGGUAAUGGCUCACCAAGGCAACGAUCAGUAUCCGGUCUGAGAGGACGGUCGGACACACUGGAACUGAGACACGGUCCAGACUCCUACGGGAGGCAGCAGUGGGGAAUUUUUGGCAAUGGGGGCAACCCUGACCAAGCAACGCCGCGUGGGUGAUGAAGUCUCUUGGGACGUAAAACCCUUUCGACGGGGACGAAAGCCGCAAGGUUUGACGGUACCCGUAGAAGAAGCCCCGGCUAACUCCGUGCCAGCCGCCGCGGUAAAAC
rnacentral:rRNA from 1 species